AUUGAACGCUGGCGGCCUGCUUUACACAUGCAAGUCGGACGGCAGCACAGAGAAGCUUGCUUCUUGGGUGGCGAGUGGCGAACGGGUGAGUAAUAUAUCGGAACGUACCGAGUAAUGGGGGAUAACUAAUCGAAAGAUUAGCUAAUAACGCAUAUUCUCUGAGGAGGAAAGCAGGGGACCUUCGGGCCUUGCGUUAUUCGAGCGGCCGAUAUCUGAUUAGCUAGUUGGUGGGGUAAAGGCCUACCAAGGCGACGAUCAGUAGCGGGUCUGAGAGGAUGAUCCGCCACACUGGGACUGAGACACGGCCCAGACUCCUACGGGAGGCAGCAGUGGGGAAUUUUGGACAAUGGGCGCAAGCCUGAUCCAGCCAUGCCGCGUGUCUGAAGAAGGCCUUCGGGUUGUAAAGGACUUUUGUCGGGGAAGAAAAGGCUGUUGCUAAUAUCGACAGCUGAUGACGGUACCUGAAGAAUAAGCACCGGCUAACUACGUG
rnacentral:rRNA from 1 species